rnacentral:rRNA from 1 species
UACGUAGGGUGCGAGCGUUAAUCGGAAUUACUGGGCGUAAAGCGUGCGCAGGCGGUGAGUUAAGUCUGAUGUGAAAGCCCCGGGCUCAACCUGGGAAUGGCAUUGGAAACUGGCUCGCUGGAGUGUGGCAGAGGGGGUGGAAUUCCGCGGUGUAGCAGUGAAAUGCGUAGAGAUGCGGAGGAACACCGAUGGCGAAGGCAGCCCCCUGGGCCAACACUGACGCUCAGGCACGAAAGCGUGGGGAGCAAACAGG